rnacentral:rRNA from 1 species
UACAGGGGGGGCAAGCGUUGUUCGGAAUUACUGGGCGUAAAGGGUUUGUAGGUGGCUUGUUAAGUCAGACGUGAAAUCCCUCAGCUUAACUGGGGAACUGCGUCUGAUACUGAUGAGCUUGAGUGCAGGAGAGGAACGCGGAAUUCCAGGUGUAGCGGUGAAAUGCGUAGAUAUCUGGAGGAACACCGGUGGCGAAGGCGACUACCUGGCCUGUUCUUGACGCUGAGGCGCGAAAGCUAGGGGAGCAAACGGG